CCUACGAGAGUCAGCAGUGGGGAAUAUUGCACAAUGGGGGAACCCCUGAUGCAGCGACGCCGCGUGAGGGAAGAAGUAUCUCGGUACGUAACGCUCUAUCAGCAGGGUAGAAAAUGACUGUACCUGACUAAGAAGCCCCGGCUAACUACGUUCCCGCAGCCGCGGUAAUACUUAGGGGGCAAGCGUUAUCCGGAUUUACUGGGUGUAAAGGGAUCGUAGACGGCAGCACAAGUCUGGAGUGAAAUCCCGGGGCUUAAACCCUGAACUGCUUUGGAAACUGGGCGGAUGGAGUGCAGGAGGGGUAAGCGGAAUUCCUAGUGUAGCGGUGAAAUGCGUAGAUAUUAGGAGGAACACCGGUGGCGAAGGCGGCUUACUGGACUGUAACUGACGUUGAGGCUCGAAAGCGUGGGGAGCAAACAGGAUUAGAUACCCCUGUAGUC
rnacentral:rRNA from 1 species